AUUCCACUCGCAGUGGGCUCGGCUCAAAUGUCAAACGCUACUAUUUCGUCAACAGAGUCGUGGCGCGAUAGUUGGAUUUUAUGAAAUAACAACAAAUAUUUACUUCACCAGUGUUUGACGGACAAUGGAUAAUAAAGUUUAGAAGUCAGUAUAUUUUUUGCGCUUCAGUACUGAGUAACGUGUCGCGGUAUUCUGACGAAUGUAUCAAGAAAUUAUUGCGAUUUCUAUGCAUACCUAUUGAUUUUUGUACUUCGCCGGUUUUGUAAGACUGUCAUGAAGCCUUUAAUAUUAUCGAAUCAUUUAAUUCACUAAGUUAUCGGUGCGACGUGUUUAAGUUCAUUAUUAAUCUAAAAAUUGUGUGAAAAAUACAACAUCGUCAGGUCGUAUUGUGAAACGACGUGGGAAAAAAUACUAUUCCGUAAGGACAUCAUGGAGAAAGUUGAAACUGCGUUGGAUGUAUUAUCGCGAGCCGCAACAAUGGUGCAGCCUUCUCCAGCAUACCCAGCCAGCGAUUCAGACAGUUUUGAGACGCCGUCGACCGCGUCGAGCGGGGAAUCGGAAGGCGAUCGAACGCUGUCUCCCGAAGGACCCCGGUCUCAAACCAAAGAAAUGACGGGGGAAAUGGCGACAGGAACGGCGCAUGACACGAUUGCCUGAAUAUAGACCUAGGGAGAAUUGCAAGAUGGCGCUACGCUCGCAGUCGUUCAACGAGAGACGCAGCGUGGCGUCGGUGACGCGCGCACAGCCGCAUAGCGAUGGCGAGCUCUCCGACGAGACCGAGGACACUCCCGCCAACUUGGCUUUAAAUGGAAAACGCACACCACCUGAAUACCCUGGGAACAAACACGAGGCUCCAAUCGACAUGAGGUUGAGGUCCCGGCCCGCUCCGCCGCCUUACAGCAGACCUUCAGUCAUAACCAAGAGCAACGAUGCACUACCUGGUUCAAUGUCUAUGUGCGAUCCAGUAAUCGACGAGCAUUUCCGAAGAUCUCUUGGCGACGAUUACAUGAACUUAUUCAAGAAAAACGCAGAAGACGCUCAACCCGGCCCCAAACCCAACACGAAAGACAGAGCUAGCAGCCCCAUACAGUUUAAAACAGAAGAACCGCAUAAACCACCAAAAAUAAUCGCAAUGGAUGUAGACGACGCCAGUCUGUCAGUAGACGAUCACUUCGCCAAAGCACUAGGUGAUACCUGGAGACAAAUACAAACCUCAAGGUUAAAGGAUAAUGAAAAAGGACAACCGAGCAAAGGAGGUGUCGACGAUCACUUCAGCAAAGCCCUCGGAGACACGUGGAAGAAAAUUCAAUCCUCCAAACUAAACUUAGAAGCAGAUAAUGACAAACCAAAAGAUCAGACGGCGAAGAUCAUAACAAGGAGCGGCGUCGUAAUAUAAUAACGGCAGAUAAGCCCCUGGGUGGUUCAGUUUACGGUCUUGUAAAAUUUACGAGCCAUUUUCAUGAUGCUAACUGGAGUGUCAAUAAAUUCCCACUUGUUUAACAUAAAGAACGCUAUAAUAUUAUUAAUGGGUACGAAUCGAGUGCCAGUCUUAACGUUUAUUUUCGUAUUUAGAAUCCAUGACAGUUCUGUUACCUUUAAGGUUUUGGGUAAUAUUUUUGAAAUGUUAUUUAAUUUUAUGUUUACUAUAUUAUAUGAAUAGUCAAUUAGUAGUCACCAGUUACACAUUGUAAGUUAUUACCUCAGUACGAGCGAUUUUGCACAAUACACUAGACUAAGUUACAAAUAGAAUAUUAUGUGUUGUAAAUAAAUAUUGUGACGGUGAUAGCGUGUGCGAUGUUUGGAGAGGUGUUCGUAUCACUAAUUUUAUUUUAUGUUCUUAUGUUUAAUAUCAAAAUGUUCCUCACGUUAAAUGUAUAUAGGUGUUCAGACAAUGAAUGCGCGAUGUGACAACGCCCUGUACUAUAUUAAAUAUUGUACAAGAGUGUAAACAUAAAACUUAAUACUCUGCAUGGUUGUACAGAAACUUCCUUGUGUAUUAAUUUCACUUUACAAAUAUUAAGCUUUUCGAUAUGUUCAUAAUUAAGUAUUCCUUUUAUGUAGGAAAAAGUAAAGAAAUGUGAAUUUAUCCUUAUUGAAUUCUGAGUUCUGUUUU
rnacentral:sRNA from 1 species